rnacentral:rRNA from 1 species
UACGUAGGUCCCGAGCGUUGUCCGGAUUUAUUGGGCGUAAAGCGAGCGCAGGUGGUUUAUUAAGUCUGGUGUAAAAGGCAGUGGCUCAACCAUUGUAUGCAUUGGAAACUGGUAGACUUGAGUGCAGAAGAGGAGAGUGGAAUUCCAUGUGUAGCGGUGAAAUGCGUAGAUAUAUGGAGGAACACCGGUGGCGAAAGCGGCUCUCUGGCCUGUAACUGACACUGAGGCUCGAAAGCGUGGGAAGCAAACAGG